rnacentral:tRNA from 1 species
GCUAUUGUGGCAGAAUAAUUGUAUCAAAUUUAGAAUUUGAGAAUGCUUAGGCCAUUAGUA